rnacentral:rRNA from 1 species
AAAUUGAAGAGUUUGAUCAUGGCUCAGAUUGAACGCUGGCGGCAGGCCUAACACAUGCAAGUCGAACGGUAGCACAGAGAGCUUGCUCUCAGGUGACGAGUGGCGGACGGGUGAGUAAUGUCUGGGAAACUGCCUGAUGGAGGGGGAUAACUACUGGAAACGGUAGCUAAUACCGCAUAACGUCGCAAGACCAAAGAGGGGGACCUUCGGGCCUCUUGCCAUCAGAUGUGCCCAGAUGGGAUUAGCUAGUAGGUGGGGUAACGGCUCACCUAGGCGACGAUCCCUAGCUGGUCUGAGAGGAUGACCAGCCACACUGGAACUGAGACACGGUCCAGACUCCUACGGGAGGCAGCAGUGGGGAAUAUUGCACAAUGGGCGCAAGCCUGAUGCAGCCAUGCCGCGUGUAUGAAGAAGGCCUUCGGGUUGUAAAGUACUUUCAGCGGGGAGGAAGGUGUUGUGGUUAAUAACCGCAGCAAUUGACGUUACCCGCAGAAGAAGCACCGGCUAACUCCGUGCCAGCAGCCGCGGUAAUACGGAGGGUGCAAGCGUUAAUCGGAAUUACUGGGCGUAAAGCGCACGCAGGCGGUCUGUCAAGUCGGAUGUGAAAUCCCCGGGCUCAACCUGGGAACUGCAUUCGAAACUGGCAGGCUAGAGUCUUGUAGAGGGGGGUAGAAUUCCAGGUGUAGCGGUGAAAUGCGUAGAGAUCUGGAGGAAUACCGGUGGCGAAGGCGGCCCCCUGGACAAAGACUGACGCUCAGGUGCGAAAGCGUGGGGAGCAAACAGGAUUAGAUACCCUGGUAGUCCACGCCGUAAACGAUGUCGACUUGGAGGUUGUGCCCUUGAGGCGUGGCUUCCGGAGCUAACGCGUUAAGUCGACCGCCUGGGGAGUACGGCCGCAAGGUUAAAACUCAAAUGAAUUGACGGGGGCCCGCACAAGCGGUGGAGCAUGUGGUUUAAUUCGAUGCAACGCGAAGAACCUUACCUACUCUUGACAUCCAGAGAACUUAGCAGAGAUGCUUUGGUGCCUUCGGGAACUCUGAGACAGGUGCUGCAUGGCUGUCGUCAGCUCGUGUUGUGAAAUGUUGGGUUAAGUCCCGCAACGAGCGCAACCCUUAUCCUUUGUUGCCAGCGGUUAGGCCGGGAACUCAAAGGAGACUGCCAGUGAUAAACUGGAGGAAGGUGGGGAUGACGUCAAGUCAUCAUGGCCCUUACGAGUAGGGCUACACACGUGCUACAAUGGCGCAUACAAAGAGAAGCGACCUCGCGAGAGCAAGCGGACCUCAUAAAGUGCGUCGUAGUCCGGAUUGGAGUCUGCAACUCGACUCCAUGAAGUCGGAAUCGCUAGUAAUCGUAGAUCAGAAUGCUACGGUGAAUACGUUCCCGGGCCUUGUACACACCGCCCGUCACACCAUGGGAGUGGGUUGCAAAAGAAGUAGGUAGCUUAACCUUCGGGAGGGCGCUUACCACUUUGUGAUUCAUGACUGGGGUGAAGUCGUAACAAGGUAACCGUAGGGGAACCUGCGGUUGGAUCACCUCCUUACCUUAAAGAA